rnacentral:rRNA from 1 species
AUUGAACGCUGGCGGCAGGCCUAACACAUGCAAGUCGAACGGUAACAGGAAGAAGCUUGCUUCUUUGCUGACGAGUGGCGGACGGGUGAGUAAUGUCUGGGAAACUGCCUGAUGGAGGGGGAUAACUACUGGAAACGGUAGCUAAUACCGCAUAACGUCGCAAGACCAAAAAGGGGGACCUUCGGGCCUCUUGCCAUCGGAUGUGCCCAGAUGGGAUUAGCUAGUAGGUGGGGUAACGGCUCACCUAGGCGACGAUCCCUAGCUGGUCUGAGAGGAUGACCAGACAGACUGGAACUGAGACACGGUCCAGACUCCUACGGGAGGCAGCAGUGGGGAAUAUUGCACAAUGGGCGCAAGCCUGAUGCAGCCAUGCCGGGUGUAUGAAGAAGGCCUUCGGGUUGUAAAGUACUUUCAGCGGGGAGGAAGGGAGUAAAGUUAAUACCUUUGCUCAUUGACGUUACCCGCAGAAGAAGCACCGGCUAACUCCGUG